rnacentral:lncRNA from 1 species
GGUGCAGACUUUGGAUCGCAUCCCGGGCAUCCUUGUACCCCACAUGGUAGGAGGCGAAGGUGCUCUCGAGGAGCUCCUCCCGGUACUCGUCCGAGCCACAGAAGUCCUCCACCGUCCGGCUCAGCGCCUCCUUGGCCGACUCCGUCGGCUUGGGCGGAGGACAAGUUCUCCUCAGCCUUAGCCAGGUUCUCCAGGCUAGCUCGAAGCUAUUCGCGCUCGACCUCGAGCUCCCUGACGCGGCCAUCCCGCUCACGCCGCAGCCGGUGA